UAAAUUAAUUUAACAAAAACACGACAUAAAUCACCAGAAGACGAACAAACAAUAAACACAGAUCAAACUGAACACAUUAAGUCACAGUAAAACAACCCAACACAAACACAUACCAUAUAUCAUCACAACAUAUAUCAGCAGGCCUAACAACCUGUAUAAGCAACAAAACAUUAAAGGAUAAAAAGAACAAAUAUUUCAAAUUCUACACCAAAUGUUUUUUUUUUAGUUAAAUACAAACUUUCUACCAGCCAUCCACUUCAAUAAACCUUUCCCACCUUUCUAAAUGUUUUUUCUAAUAUCAUCAUUUGUGUUUGUGAUAUAUCCUUAUAGAAUCCGGUCUUUAAGUCGUGACAAAUCAACCAUUUCCGGGUUCCAGCUGGAAAUGGCCGGUCCCAGCCUCUCGUCUUUUCAGCAGUGUCCCUUGUUGUUUGAAUGGAUCUGAAUCAAAGAAAAAAAUAUAUAUAUAUAUGCGAGCAAAGCAGAGCCCAGAAGUCUCCAUCAUCAGCUUCAGACCCCGGGGACAGGAGAAAUCACAUUAUAUCUGCUGUCACACAAAGUCACUGUCAAGGUGUGGUAGAGAGAGCACACAGCAGCUCUGGUGUGAUGCUGGAGACCCAGAAAUACCUCAGAUGCCUCAUCUCAGCUCCCGGCUAAAACCAAGCUGCAAUUCUAACAAAGGGACGGUGUCUCGGGAGUGGGCGCAGAGAGAGAGAGAAAAAGAGGGAGAAAAUAUGUUGUUGGUUGACUGUGGUGCUGUUACUUUUUCUCCCAACUGCAAACUAAAGAAUAUCCAGUAGUUAGGAUGAGUUUGUCAUUGUUUAAGGCCCUUUAGGGAUUGUAUCUCAUAAACCUUUCAUAGAGUGUUUCCAGCGAAUGUGAGGCAUUUUUUAAUUCCAAAGUCUUUGAUUCUCUGGAGAAAACCAAGACACUGGAGCUUGCCACAGCGUGCUUAUACUGUAUCUGUGCCCGCCAUCUGAAUUCCCAGGGAACUUAAAAGCACACGCUUUGUUAUUCAUGAUCACUGUAAGUUUCCAUGGGUUGUUUGGCUUUCUCAUCCAAUUUAUGUGUUCAACUUGUUAGUCAUUCAGCACAGCGUGCUGGUUACAGAUGUUAAUGACACAUCGGUUUAGAUUGUUAUUCAGUACAUUAACAUCCAACAGAGACUGUCGGCUCGACACACCCCGGACCUCUGGCUCUCUCUAACUCCCGUGGUAAUGCCAGCCCACCCCUCCAGCCCACCUUGCACUCCCUCAC